rnacentral:sRNA from 1 species
ACCGAACCGAAUCUGUAUCUCCAAACUUAUCGAUCGCGUCGUCAAUCAUACUCAAGAAGGGCCAUCGCUACUACUUACUACAUAUUUACGCAUAGUUCGUUGCCAGUCGUCUUUCGUCAGUCAUAGACGAACGAAUGGCGCUUCCGCGCACUGUGGCUUGUGCCUCGGUCGUCUUCCAUCGUCUAUCAUCUAUUGUUCAGCGUUCAGCGUUCACAAUCGCGCCGUAAUAUAACGACGUUGUUCCGUUAGAGGAUAAAGAGCGUUAACUCGUGGCAACUAUUGUACUGCUAUACGUCCAGAGGAGGCGUUGAUGUCGUUUCUGUGAUGCGUCGUGACUGACUGAUGGCGACCAAAUUAAAUACCAUGCAUAUGUGAAGUGCUGUAUGGCGUACAGGUAUUAGUGUACAGGAGGUCCGUUGAUAUUCUCAAGCUCCUUUUGGAUCUUAGGACUUUUCCCUCUGUUCCUAUGUAUGGAAUAUGCAUAGAGACAUAUACACCG